GACUCAGGGCAGCCCUGACCACAGUUCCGCCGCCAUCGGCCCUAGCCUGCGGAAUUGGGCUCGCCCCGGGACGAUAACAGAGCUCUGCCGGGGGCUGGAGGCACUGACCGGGUGACCAGAGACCCAGAGACCAGACCCCCUCCACGGCGCCCGGGAUUUCGGGGACGGCUUCUCCCAUCGCAAGUUUCAACAGAAAAUGAGAAAUAUCCCCCGACGAUUGGCUGAAAACAUGCAGCAACCACUAUUUUCUUCCUGCCCCUCGUUGAUGAGAGCAUUCGAAGUGACCUCAGCAGGGCAUCCAGAUCAAUUAUGCAGCUACAGCCAAAACCAAGUUCUUUUUAUUGCAAUGGUAAUGAAAGGAGCCCCGUGUAAGUCACUGGAAGGUCACAUGUUCACAGACUGUCAGCUGUGGAGGGUUAUGUAACAGUGGUUAUGCAAUGCCACGUUAGAACUACAGCCCGAGCAGCAAAACAUUUAGAUAAUUUUAUUGAAUUAAAAUAAGACUUCCACUCUCUUUGAAUGACAAAUCCCUUUUAACAAAACCAAGACUUGGGUUUUAAUGUUGACUCCCACACGAGGCUCCGUAAGCCACAUUUUACCUUCUAUGCGUGGCUGGCCCCAUUGAGUAGAUUUCUGAAAGUCAAAUUUCUGACAUGAGCCUAUUUGAAAACUUUGCUCAGUUGUCAUCUUCUAUCAGGAUGAGUUAUGGACGAAGCCCCCCAUAAAUCCUAAGGCACAUCUUGAAGCCCCUAAAAUCCAAAGGCAUGGCCGGGCUCACAUCUGUAAUCCCAGCACUUUGGGAGGCCAAGGCGGGUGGAUCACUUUGAGGUCAGGAGUUCGAGGCAAGCCUGGCCAACAUGGUGAAACCUCGUCUCUACUAAAAAUACAAAUAUUACCCGGGUGUGGUGGCACACUCCUGUAAUGCCAGCUACUUGGAGGCUGAGGCAGGAGAAUCACUUGAACGUGGGAGGUGGAGGUUGCAGUGAGCUGAGAUCACCCCACUGCAUUCCAGCCUGGAUGACAGAGUGAGACUCUCUCAAACAAAAACAAAAAAAAUCCUAAGGUACGUGAGUCUCCUUCACUAAUGUACUGUCUUUGUUCCAAGAUACUUCACCCCUUCGAAAGUUAACGGGGAAGAUCAAAAGGAGGUAUUAAGAGAUCAAAAUGAAAUAAAGGCUUCAUGCGUU
ensembl:lncRNA SNHG20 small nucleolar RNA host gene 20